rnacentral:lncRNA from 1 species
ACUAUAUUUAGAGAUGAAAAAAUAAAAAAAAAUUGAGGAUAAAAUAAAAAAAAUGUGGAUAAAAUAAAACAAAAUGAGGAUAAAAUAGAAAAUAUUGAGGAUAAAAUAGAAAAUAUUGAGGAUAAAAUAGAAAAAAUUGAGGAUAAAAUAGAAAAAAUUGAGGAUAAAAUAGGAAAUAUUGAGAAUAAAAUAGAAAAACUUGAGGAUAAAAUAGGAAAUAUUGAGAAUAAAAUAGGAAAUAUUGAGGAUAAAAUGGGAAAUAUGGAGGAUAAAAUAGGAAAAAUUGAGGAUAAAAUGCAAGCCCAAUUAGAAGAUCUAAAAAGUUUCUUACAGGAUCAAUUGGCAAACAACCACUCUACCAGAAACAGACCUGUUUCUGAACCUUUGAAUGAGGAAAUUUCCUUCCCUGAAAUAGAGAUGGAAAACACCUUCCCUAUAGCCCAGUUAACAGACUGCUUCUCUCGUGUAGUGCAAAUCUUGUCUGAAUUUAAUCCCCAAAACCCUUCCCCUGCAAUCCCAGUUUCUCAUGUUCCUUCUCCUACAGAAAACCAAAUUCCAAUGCAAGGGAGAUCUUGUCCUCCUAGAGAAACCUGUCCUUGUCAAACUGACCCACAGGUACAAAAUUCAACUAGAGGCCUGUUUCCUCUAAGAGAAGUACCUGAAAUAGGACGGAAUGGGGAUGUGGUGACUUUAAGACAUAGGAUACCGUUUACUCCCCAAGAAAUAAAUGAAUUUACACGAAAUAUCCCCACAUAUGAACAAGAUCCUUUUCUAGUAACAAAAAAGAUGGGAGACAUAUUUUUUCAGUAUAAUCCGUCUUACAAGGAUGUUGAGAACUUACUACAGGCUUUUUUAAGUGAACGUGAAAAAAAUAAAAUAAUUGCUCAUGUCAACAAAACCCGGGGGCGUAAUGCAGCACAUUGGCCAUCUCAGGAUCCCGAAUGGGACUAUAACAAUCCUGAGGAUUAUCUACAACUAUACCAUUGUAGAGAGGCCAUCC